GUUGGGGUCCCGCCGUCCUGAGGCUCGAGCUCUUGCGGGUCGAUCGGUCGGCGGGGCCUGCGCGGGGCCCGGGCCCAUGGCGGCGUCGGCGGCUCUGUCUGCGGCGGCGGCGGCGGCAGCCCUGUCUGGCUUGGCGGUUCGGCUGUCGCGCUCGGCGGCGGCCCGAGGCUCAUACGGCGCCUUCUGCAAGGGGCUCACGCGCACGCUGCUCACCUUCUUCGACCUGGCCUGGCGGCUGCGCAUGAACUUCCCCUACUUCUACAUCGUGGCCUCGGUGAUGCUCAACGUCCGCCUGCAAGUGCGGAUCGAGUGAGCGCCGGCGGCGGCGGCGGCCGCGGAGGCCCGGCUGGAGGGGCGACAGUGUCCCCGCCCGCCCCCGGCCGGGUCGCGGGCAUGAAGGACAGCUGGAUCGCGGCGGGGGGCGGAGGUGGGGCGGCCCGGGCCCCUGGACUCUAGACCUACGCCGCCCGGGCACGAAGGCCCAGCCCUGGCCCUGGCCGCGGUCUCAGCCCGGGACCCCGGAUCGCGCAGAAAUGCACUGAACAGGCCCCUACAAUUGGGCUCCAGAAACUACCUGAGCUCGGACUACCUGUUGCCUCACAUUGGCAAAAGAGGGGGAAACCAGAAGGAGGGAAUUCUGCUGCGGCGACUUGACUUUCCCCGCCCCGAGCAGAAAGGCAUUGACGUUUGUAGGCGGUGACCCGCCCCUUCUCUGGCCUUGCCAAGAGUCUCAUCCCUACCCUGGGGCACCUCUGACCCUGGACCUGCUUGGGCAGAGGCAGCGUGAAGGGCCUGAACAAGAGGAGAAGAAGGGCCUUCCUAGUAGAGGCACAGCAUGGACAAAGGCUCACAGGGGUGGGGGUGCCCAGUGAUCGAGUCCUGGCUUGGGAGGGAAGGUCUGAGUUCCCUGGGAACUGAAAUCGGCUAGCAGCACUGUGAGAGAGCUCGACCCCCCCGCCAUCCCCAGGAUCACACAGGAGAAUCUCAUCCUCACGGCUUGGAUUGGUCCUGGGGGCCCCCGGUUGUGCUGCUAACUGGUGUACAAUGCUCAAGAGCAGCCCAGAGGGGAGCCAGGAAGGGACCCUCGCCCUCACCUGCUAUCCCCAUUUCCGCAUCUCUUGCACUGGUACCCUGAGGGCCACAUUCUCAGUUCCUGGGAUUGAAAACUGCAGCAGUCUGGCCAGCUCCAGGGACAGAGUGAUCCAACCACCUACCACGUACCCUCCUCAGCAGGCCACUGGACCCAGGUCCUGAAUGAAGCUGUCCGCCUGCCUCACCCCAGAAGAGGCUGGACAGUGGCUGCCUCGUGCCCCCUGCAGUCUCCCACAGCCAGGGCCCGAUGGGGUGCCUCCUUGUCCCAAGUCUCCUGAGAACCCCUGACCUUGCUGGCCUCUCUCAUCCGCCCCAACCCUGUCCACCCUUGACCACCUCUGGGGGCCUGUCAGCCUGCUGGUCCCCCCAACAGAUCUCUGGGGGCAGCCUCUGUGGGACAAGAGUGAUACAGAGCUGGAGGAGAAGAGGAGUGAGGGGCCUCCUUGUGUCUGAUGCACAGAUGUGGCCCUUUCAAACCCUGGUGUCACCCUCUGGGUGACUGGAUCCCUAGCUCCAGCCUCUUCCUGGGCCAGCCAGGAAGGGUGGAGGAAAGUUCUUUGCUGAUUGCAUGUGUGAUACAGUGGGGGGUGCCUGAGCCCUCCCCAUGCAAGGGGCUCAUCCUGGGACUCUGGAAGCUGCUUCCCUACUGGGAGAAAUGUGUGUCGGAGCUGCAGGGGUCCCUACCCUCAGAGACCCCCGACUGCAGGGAACCCACCCCAUAAGAGGGUCACGGAUGUCCAUGUCCGCCCACCCCCCGUGGCUUCUGCUGUGGCUAUAUUGGCCUAGAGGGGCUGACUGGGGAGGAGCAGGGCUAAGCCCUCAGCAUUUGCUCCUGUCCCUGCCUUUUCACCCCUGCUGCCUGAAGUGGUAGCCCCGCCUGCUGCUUCUCUACCUCCCCUCCCCACCUCUUCUCUCCCCUACAGGGCCCUUGCUGCGUGAUGGGGUCUCCAUGCACUUUAUUUAUUUGCAGUCUGUUUUCUAGGCGGUGGAGCUUCUAGACACCGACCGGAAUGACAUACGUUUCUGUGUGUGAUUCACUGUGUACUGGUCAGCACAGGCUGGCCAGAGAGAUGUUCUUGUUUCUGGUGUUGUCACGUCUUCUUGUUUUCUCUAAGUUUAAAAAAAAAAAAAAGUCCUUGGUUUAAUACACUAAAAUCCCAACUGGAGGCCUUCCGUGUCUGGUGGGGGUGAUGCAAUGGCCCCAGGUGGAGAGAGGCCCCAUGGUGAGGUCACCGGCUCCCAUGGCAAGGUCACCGGCUCCCAUGGCCAGGAGCUGGCAGGGAAAAGCCUCUGAGGAGUAGGGCUGGGGGAGGCUGUGGCAGGGACCGUGUUUCCUGUUCAGAGGCUGUGCUGAGAACCGACUUGACCCAGACCACUGCCCCAUGAGAAGCAGGCAGCAGCCUGGCCUGGCCCUGAGAGGUGGCUGCUUGUCCUGUUGACAGUCUCUGUUCAAAUGACCCAAAACAUAAGUCCUCUUCCGUUUUAGAGUCUGGUGAUCAAAAGUGCCUAAGUCAGUAGAAUCCUGAGGGUGGACUAGGGUGAAGUGAACUGAAACAGACUCCACGCAGGUCAUUUCGUGUAGCGCUGAGACCCUUCUCCCUGCCUGAGGUCACCUCCCACUGCCUCCCUACCAGCCAGGUUACUGCAGAACCCUGGAGAAGAUAAAGGACCUGGCCCUAGAAGCCUCCUUCCCUUCCCCAGCCUUGGAGGCAAACUCUGUCCCAUCAGAGUCCCCCUCCUUAGUGGCUCCCACAGGAGAGAGCUCCCUAAUGGCUGCUGUAAGGGUUGGCAAGCAGGCAAAAGGUGGGAGAGGGAAGGCCGAGGGGAGUGUUAGAGGAAGAUGCCUAGGUGAGAGGCAUCCUGAGGACACAGGGCUAUGCUCAGACUCAGGAGUGCAGUCUGAGUUUAGGGGCCCUGGGGGCACUCCUGUUGCCAAGGGCUACCCAGGGGUCACAGCACCCUGAUAAGAACCCCUCCAAAAGCACUAGUGCCAACAUCCUAUGGCAUCUGCCACCACAGGAGAAAUGGACCCCAGUCCCUGAGCUUCCCUCCCCUUUGUCUAGAUGGUCCUCUUCAGUCCCUGAUGGUCCCAUCCCCACUCCAGGGAUCACGUGACUUGGCAAACCAAGAUGGGGGAUGAUACCCCCAGAGCCUGGCUCCAAGGCCUCCUGAAGAGGCCCAUCCUUGCAACAGAGGAAGGGAAGGCAGGAAGGCCGGUUCUGCUCAAAUGGGACCCCAGGAGACCAAAGCCCUGAGCCGUGAAUCCAGCUCUUCCACUUACUACUGUAUGGUGCCAGGCAAACUGCACAACCUGGAGUUUUUAGUAAGGUUCCUUUGGGAUGCUUGUCAGCAGCGAAUACAAUGUCUGUUCAACGUUUGUCAUCAGCUCUCACCUGGAGAAGCCUUGUUACUGUGGGGAAAGGGAACCAAGUGAAGGGAACGGACAUCCGAUGAGAGCCUGCCAUGUGCCAGGCACCAUUCUAGGUGCUUUGCAUUCCUAAUCUCAUCAUAAUCCCACAACCACCUAACCUUUAUCUCCAUUUUACAGAGAAAUCAAGGACAGGAACCAAGUCUGAAAUAGAACCCCAAGCAGAAUCUCUUUUCCUGAGCUCCCAGUGCCCCUGGAGAGGCAGGGAAUUGGGCUGGAGUAAUGGUGGAAUGGAAUAGCAAAGGUGGAAGAUGACCCUGUUCUUUCUGGGUGGGGUCCAGGAGGCAGAUAAGAAAUCCAGGUGUGCCUGGGUGCGGUGGCUCAUGCCUGUAAUCCCAGCACUUUGGGAGGCCAAGGCGGGCGGAUCACAAGGUCAGGAGUUCAAGACCAGCCUGACCAACAUGGUGAAACCCCGUCUCUACUAAAAAUACAAAAAUUAGCUGGACGUGGUGGCGCAUGCCUAUAGUCCCAGCUACUUGGUUGGCUGAGGCAGGAGAAUCGCUUGAACCUGGGAGGCAGAGGUUGCAGUGAGCCAAGAUCUGGGCAACACAGUCAGACUCCGUCUGAAAAAAAAAAAAAAAAGAAAAAGAAAAGAAAAAUCCAGGGCUUGGAUGGGGGACAGACCUGGGAGCCCUCUCCAAAUGGAGCUCCCCAGUGGGCGCAGCUGGGGCCACCCUGAGAUGGGUUCACCUGUCUUUUCUCCAUCCUCCCUCCAGAGAUUGAUUGGGACCUAAGAGAUUGAGUCAGGAGAGGGCAAGAGAGCAGCUAAGCAGGCAGUUCCGGGGGCACCAGAGCAAAUACAUUAAGAAGUGGGAAAUAUAAAGAGCAUGCAAAACCUCAUCCUACUCCUGUUCACCCACCCACAAGGGAAACUGCUGCGUUUGGACAAAUUUCUACUUUGUGUUGGUGGAGGGAAGGAGAAAGAACAUACUACUUUGAAAACUUCUCCUCCCACUUCAUCUUUAUCUUUCCAUGUUAUUAGGUAUUUUUCUAUAUCCAAAGCCACCUAGUAGUCUCUUGUGUGAAGGUAUCAUGCAUUUCUCAUGCCUCUUGGUUGUUUCCCUUUAUUGUUUAUUUGGGGAGUUUGGUUUCUUGGUUGUUUGGUUUUUUUCUGUGGUUUUGUUUUUAUAAACAUUCCAGUAACAGAUAAGUUGGACCUCAUCAAAAUUAAAAACUUUUGUGCAUAAGAAGUCACUAUCAGGACAGUGAAAACACAACCUGCAGAGUGGGAGCAAAUAUUUUAAAAUAUAUAUCUGAUAAGAGACUUGUAUCCAGAAAUAUAAAAAGAACUCUAGCUACUCAACAAAAAAAGACAGACAACCCAAUCAAAAUAUGGGCAAAGAGUUUCAAUACACAUUUCUCCAAAGAAGUGAUACAAAUGGCCACCAAGCACAUAAAGAUGCUCAAUGUCAUUAGUCAUUAGGGAAAUGCAAAUCAAAACCACAAUGAGCUCACCUCACCCACUUCACACAUUAGGAUAUUUAUUUAUUUAUUUAUUUAUUUAGAGACAGAGUCUUCAAUGCCCAGGCUGGAGAGCAAUGACACAAUCUCAGCUCACUGCAACCUCUGCCUCCUGGGUUCAAGUGAUUCUCAUGCCUCAGCCUCCCAAGUAGCUGGGAUUACAGACGUGCACAACCACACCUGGCUAGUUUUUGUGUUUUUUGUAGAGGCGGGAUUUCACCAUGUUGGCCAGGCUGGUCUUGAACUCCUGGCCUCAAGUGAUCAACCCUCCUCAGCCUCCUAAAGUGCUGGAAUUACAGGUGUGAGUCACCACGCACAGCUCAACUUUUUUUAAAAAAAUUAAAAUAACACGUGUUGGUGAGGAUGUGGAGAAAUUGGAACCCUUGUUCAUUACUAAUGGGCAUGUAAACUGGUACAGCAGCCACUGUGGAAAACAGGUGGUUCCUCAAAUAGUUAAACCUAGAAUUAUCCUAUAGCCCAGCAUUUCCACUCCUAGGUACAUACUCAAAUGACUGAAAGCUGGUACUCAAACAUGAAUUUUCAUAGCAGCACUAUUUACAAUAGCUAGAAGGUGGAAACAACCCAAAUGUCUAUCAGUCUAUCAACUGAUGAAUGAAUAAACAAAACUUGGUAUAUUUAUACACUGGAAUAUUAUUCAGCCCCAAAAUAAUCCCACAAUGAAGGAUUUGAUACAUAUUACAAGGUGGAUGAACUUUGAAAAUAUUAUGCUAAGUGAAAGAAAUCAGACACGAAAGAUUACAAAUUUUAUGAUUCCAUUUAUAUGAAAUGUCUAGAAUAUGUAAAUUCAUACAGACAGAAAGCAGAUUAGUGGUUGCCAUGGUCUAGGGGAGGGAAGGAUGGAGAGUGACUGCUUAAUGAGUACAGGGUCUCCUUUUAGGGAGAUGAAAAUGUUUUGGAACUAACAGUGGUGAUGGUUACACAACAUUGUGAAUGUACUAAAUGCCACUGAAUUAUACAUUUCAAAAUGGUUGAUUUUAUGUUAUGUGGAUUUCAACUCAAUAAUGAAAACAAAAUUUGCUGACACAUUUUACUAUCUCACCACUGGGCCUUUUCCAUAGAUGAACUUCUCUCCUGGCCUUUCAUUCAAUCCCCUGCAGCCCUUGUCCUGCCCCUGUGGUAUAAAAAGCUUACAAAAGUAGCCCCAUCCCAUUAGUUCCCAAGCAAUCCUAGCCCUCAACUCC
rnacentral:lncRNA from 1 species